AUAUCAUUUUAUACAUUUGCUCAAAUGAAAGAAGUUGGCAUAACUAUAAUCUAGUUGUUUACACCCAAAAUUCAUUUCAAUAGAGGCAUUACAACACUGAACAUAUAUGAUACAUAAGAUUCUUCACAUGUUCUCUUGUAAAACUUCUAUUUCAGAUUGCUAUUUUUUCCCUCUAAAAUCAGAAUCAUCUUCCUACCACUUGAAUAAAAAAGUUUAACAAAGAAAGCCAUUCUGAGACAACAUCACCUCAUGUAGACAUCUUAAUUCAAGCACCAGUUCUCAGGCAUCUCUAUUUCAUGACAAACUAUGAACAUCAGACAGAACAAGGACUUUGCCAUGUAGAUAUGUCAGUGACAAGAUCUCGUAGUUGAUCAAUGAGAAGCUUGAGAUAUGCAUUCUUGUUCACAAGUUCCUUUCUCAGAUUGGAGGCUUGUUCUUCUAAUUUCUCAAUCUCAGCUUGAUUUGCUGGAGAUGAUGUACUGUUUGUGGUUGAACCCGUUUCAAAUGCUUUUGCCUUCUGAGAAUUGGGGAUCGCCGCGAGGACCUCACGAAGAGCAGCUACUGAAUUCUUGUAGCGAAACCGAGCCUCAUCGAGGGCUCCAUUACUCGUACCAACACCGCCAACAGCUGCAGCGCCACCAUCCAGGUGAUGGUGAUGGACACCAUCAGAUGCAGUAUCGCCAUUGGCUACCACACCAUUUUGAGAGAGAGAAGGUAUAUUAUUAGCAGCAGUAAUAGGUGAAGCUGUGGUGGUGGUACCAGUAGCAGUGGAACCGGUGGACCACAAAGUAGGGUUACAGAGUUCGUCGUUCAUGGUCAUGGAGGAGAGGAUCUGGUAAGCAGCUUGGAUGGUUUCUUCCAGAUGCUUCUGACCUUCAAUUGCAAGCUCCUGAGUUGUUUUGGGUAGCGUUAUUGAAGUCAUGACGCUGUCCUCCAUUUCUAUUUUCUUUUUCCUUCAAUAGUUGGAAAAGGUUUUUCUGCUCUCUCUUAGCUAUCGUUCCCUUUCCAAAAGUUUCUUAGCUCCCAAACAAAGGAAUUUGACGGAGCAAAGAAAAAGGAAAAGAAAAUGUUUUUAAAAAUAUUUACAAAGAAAUUUCACGGAGCAAGCCCUAGCAUAGAA
rnacentral:misc_RNA from 1 species